AAUGUAAAAUUUGUGUUCAACGAACUCGAUUUUGAGAAAGGAAGUACGAUCGGCUUCCUUACAAAGGAGACUCGACAGAAAAAUUAAAGUUUCUCCUUCGCCCAAUCAAACAAUAGCUGUAGACUUGCGAUUCUGCCUUGUGCGUUCUCCAUUUAGUCGCUUCGAAAAGCAGGGUGGAUGAAUUUAUUGAAAAGUUUUAAUGGUUCCAAACACGAAACCUGAAUUGAAAUAUUUUAGUGAUCUUAUUCUUUUCGGAGUGUCUUAAAUUAGUUUAGUCAAAUGCCACGUAAUAAUUGGUUUUAUAAUUCUUGUAACUCUUAGUCGCAAACAUAGUUUUAUAAUGGACCAUUUGAAUUUUAGAAGUCGCUAUUGUUGCGCUUGAUUUGCGAAAGUAAACCGUGUAAAAUGAUAACGAUCAGUUGAUCAACCUGUAUUAUUAUGGCAAUUUGUAAAAAUUGCGCAUCAAAAAUGGAUGAGAUAUUAUGUAUUGUGACAAUUUUACAGUGUAACUGCGAACUGAAUGAAAGAAACAUAUGCUACUUAUCGUUCGUAGGUAACCUUAGAGAUAAAGUACACAAAUUUUUAAUUCAAAUUCAAAUUUUCGAAUUCAAAUUCAAAUUUAUAUUCCACUAUUGAAAAACCUUGUUUUAAAUUUUCACAAUUUUGUAUUGUUAUAUUAUUUGAAAUUGUAUCAUAUUAUACAUACAUAUUAUAUAGAUAAUAUAGCCACAGUUAUAUAAUAUUAUUAUAAUAUUUGCCGCAAUACUUGACUUUUCCAAAUAAUCGUUUAUUCGUGUACGUGGAUAUGUCUUAUGUCGAGCAAGAAACAAAACAGUACAAAUUUUUUGCGGCUAUUUGAUCCAAGGUUGCCAUAUUUUGUUAAUCGAGGAAGUUUUCACGGCGUACAAUAUUUCGAAUUUGCGCGCGGCUUCAAUCAAACGAGAAACCAUUCUGUUCCAACCAAUAGGGAAGCAGCUAGGCGACGCUACGGCGCGAGACACCACUCUGCUGUCGAAAAUCGAGACGUCAAGAGAUCAUUGACUGAUUGCAAUAAUGGCUUCGAGAGAAUGGGGGUUUGCAGUAUACACGUUACGAACGAUGAAUUGUUAAUUUGAUCAUUUUGAAUACAGAUUUGACAACGCUCGAUUUAUUACAACAAAGGCAGACAUGAGCGCGGCCCAUGAAUAUUUUCCGUGGAACUACGUUAUUGAACGCGUACAGCUUUCGCUGUCCGCGCAUAAACUCCUCCAAUGAUUUGCCGCUGGUGGAAAAAAAAAAAAAAAGAAAAAAGAAGAGAGGAAGAGCAGUGGCAAAGGUGGAAUCACGUGUACGCCGACACCGACAGUGGAGGCGCGAACGCGAACAGAGUCGGCAUUUCGCACGCGCGAAUCGUCACGGUUUUCGCUCGAGGGGUUGCCGAGUGUCUGUUACAUUGUGCGAAGCCAGUGUCUCGGGCGCCAUCACGUGGCAAACGAAGGAAGAAAGGAAGGAAGGAAGGAAGUCUAUCGGCAUUCCAUUUGGCAGAAUCAAGCUCAAAGUAGUAGAAUCGCGCAUACGCUCGUACGGUUCGUUUAAAUGAAGAAAAAGGAAAGAAAUUCGAGGAAAAAGAGGAAAGGAAAUGUGGCGAUUCGAGCGGAUAGAAAGAAAGGGAAGAACGGCGCGGAGAGAAUAGCACGGAGCGUUUCCAAAAUGUCAAAGGAAAGCGAAGACACGGCAGAAAGAGCUUUUCAUUCUGUUUGCUUGCUCGUGAGCAGUGUCACUCGCAUGCUCGUGCAACAUGCAGUGCUGCUAGUCGCUUACCCGUCCGUCUGACCGAACCUCUCGUUCCUGCCUUUCAUUUCCACCGACGCGGCGUCUUCUCGGCUUUGGAACGACCGCGUUUCACCCAGCAAUCAUGCAUAAAAUAAGCGUUUGCGUUUCUACCUCGAGCUUGACAUCCAAGAACCGUUUCAUGGCCGUGUAUAGUCGGUCGUUAGUACGAUCAUUUUCAUUCGCGCGAAAUGUAUUCUCAUGCUUUGGUUGUUAAUACUUUAAACGGGUUAUACCCUCAGGUGGUGUAAGAUUCGUACGGUUAUCCUCAAUUUCUAAGUGCAGUUUCAAUUUAAUAUGUUGUCUUGUAGAGGUACAUUUGUACACCGAAUUAUGCGUUUCAUUUCUUAUGCACGAGUUUCUUUAAAACGCCGAGAAGAUGUUUACGUCGUAGAUGUAU